UUCAAGCCCCAUUCAAACUACUACCUCUUCCUGACAUCAAUUCUGGAACUUACCAGGCACUAUGAAGUGCACAAUAGCCCGAAGAGCCUCCAGCUGCACG